GGGGGAUUAGCUCAAAUGGUAGAGCGCGCGCUUAGCAUGCGCGAGGUAGCGGGAUCAAUGCACGCAUCCUCCA
rnacentral:tRNA from 1 species